UACGGAAUGUGCAAACGUUAUUCGGAAUCACUGGGCUUAAAGAGACCGUAGGCGGCAUGUUAGGUGAGGUGUGAAAUCCCACGGCUCAACCGUGGAAUUGCGCUUCAAACCGGCGUGCUUGAGGAAGAUAGAGGUGGGCGGAACUGAUGGUGGAGCGGUGAAAUGCGUUGAUAUCAUCAGGAACACCGGAGGCGAAGGCGGCCCACUGGGUCUUUUCUGACGCUGAGGGACGAAAGCUAGGGGAGCGAACGGG
rnacentral:rRNA from 1 species